rnacentral:lncRNA from 1 species
GUCAGUGAUCUUAACCACUGAGCCAUCUCUCCAGCCCAAAUUAAAAUAAUUUUAAAAUUUAAGAAAUAGUGGCAGGAGAGAUGACUCACCUCAUCCAGAGGUCCUGAGUUCAACUCCCAGCAAGCAUGGUGGCUCCCAAGCAUCUGUAAUGGGAUCUGAGGCCCUCUUCCGGUGUGUCUGAAGAGAGUGGCAGUGUACUCACAUACAUUAAGUAAAUAAGUAGUAUUUUAUGGGGAUGGGUGUUUUGCCUGCAUGUGUUUGUGUACGUGGGAGCUCAGAGACCAUAGAGGGUAUCGGAUCCCUGGAGCUAGAGUUACGGGCAGUUGUGAGCUGCCACGCGCUUGCUGCCCUCUGAAGUGGGAUAUGACAUAUUCUUGUACCCAGUAGUUGAGAGGAUGAAAUGAAUUUGAGGUCAGCUCGGAAUCCAUACAUCUUAGGACAGCCUGAGCUAACAUUUCAAGGUCUUGUCCAAAAAGAACCUCAAAAGUAUGACUUGGGCCAAUAAAAAGCUGUGGUGUCUGCCGUGAAGCAGGGAA